rnacentral:rRNA from 1 species
CGCGGGACGUCCUGCCGGUGGGCGUCGGCGCGCGAAGUCGUAAGCGUCGUCGUCAGCGGUUCGCCCUAAAAAGAGUUUCCGCGCGACACGCCCGGCCCGCGCGCGGCCCAACUUUAAAUCCCACCGCGGUGCUCUUCACUGAGUGUCGAGGUGGGCCGGCACGUUUACUUUGAACAAAUUAGAGUGCUUAAAGCAGGCCAAAAAUUCGCCUGAAUAUUCUGUGCAUGGAAUAAUGGAAUAGGACCUCGGUUCUAUUUUGUUGGUUUUCGGAACCCCGAGGUAAUGAUUAAUAGGAACGGAUGGGGGCAUUCGUAUUGCGACGUUAGAGGUGAAAUUCUUGGAUCGUCGCAAGACGGACAGAAGCGAAAGCAUUUGCCAAAAACGCUUUCAUUGAUCAAGAACGAAAGUUAGAGGUUCGAAGGCGAUCAGAUACCGCCCUAGUUCUAACCAUAAACGAUGCCAGCUAGCGAUCCGCCGACGUUCCUCCGAUGACUCGGCGGGCAGCUUCCGGGAAACCAAAGCUUUUGGGUUCCGGGGGAAGUAUGGUUGCAAAGCUGAAACUUAAAGGAAUUGACGGAAGGGCACCACCAGGAGUGGAGCCUGCGGCUUAAUUUGACUCAACACGGGAAACCUCACCAGGCCCGGACCCGGGAGGAUUGACAGAUUGAGAGCUCUUUCUUGAUUCGGUGGGGGGUGGUGCAUGGCCGUUCUUAGUUGGUGGAGCGAUUUGUCUGGUUAAUUCCGAUAACGAACGAGACUCUAGCCUGCUAAAUAGGCGUACUUUCGACAUCCCAAAGGCCCGUCGUCCGGUAGCGCCGCUCGCGCCUCGCGCGCGACGUCGCCCGGGCGUUCGCGGUUUUUACUGUCGGCGUACAAUUUAUUCUUCUUAGAGGGACAGGCGGCUUCUAGCCGCACGAGACUGAGCAAUAACAGGUCUGUGAUGCCCUUAGAUGUUCUGGGCCGCACGCGCGCUACACUGAAGGAAUCAGCGUGUCCUCCCUGGCCGAACGGCCCGGGUAACCCGCUGAACCUCCUUCGUGCUAGGGAUUGGGGCUUGCAAUUCUUCCCCAUGAACGAGGAAUUCCCAGUAAGCGCGAGUCAUAAGCUCGCGUUGAUUACGUCCCUGCCCUUUGUACACACCGCCCGUCGCUACUACCGAUUGAAUGAUUUAGUGAGGUUUUCGGACUGGUACUCGAUGGCGUUUCGACGUCGCCG